AGCGUCUCCUUGGUAUCCUGUGCUGUUCCAGGACCUUUCACUUAUAUCUCAUUAUUAUCCCCAUUGUUUUAGUUAGCAAACUAAAGCUCAGAAACACAAAAUGAUUUGCCCAAGGCCACAGAGCCAGCAAGUGACUUAAUCCCAAAUGGGCCUGAUUCAGAGCCUGUGCAGCUUCUUUCAGCAGGUCCAAACACCACAGAUCCCGUGUAGCCUGGUUACUAGAGGUCCCCCCUCCACCUUUUUUUGGUGUCUUUUUGUCUUUUUAGGGCCGCACCUGCGGCGUGUGGAGGUUCCCAGACUAGGGGUCUAAUUGGAGCUGUAGCCACCGGCCUAAACCACAGCUCACGGCAACACCUGAUCCUUAACCCACAGAGCGAGGCCAGGGACCGAACCUGCGUCCUCAUGGAUGCCAGUUGGGUUCAUUAACCGCUGAGCCACGACAGGAACUCCCUAGCGGUCCCCUUUGAUGUAGGAGUGAUGGCCUAGAUGUCAAAUUUCCUUCCUUACCGACCCCCAGCCAUGUCCUCUCAUUCCUGGUUUCCACCUUUGUCUGCUGCACUGCGCAGGUGGAAUCAGAGGAGCUAGGUCAGUAAACUGGCUAGGAUUGGGGGUGUGGCUUUGGGGUGCAGCUAGGCAGACCGCCCCACCUCCCUCCAGGAUUUCAGGAUCUGUGAGAAGGGGCGAUACAUCCUCCCGGGCCAGGUUUGGAUGGGUCCUCAGGAAGAGGCUGGGCCAUGGGUCAAGUCCAGAUGACCCACCAGGCUGGGAGGCAUCACCACGUGUCGAGGAAAUAAAACAAAGACGUAGGAUACUUGAAAGCCUCUUGUGAAGCCAACUGUUCGCCGCCACCACCACCACCAGCAAACCUCACGACUGUGUGACCUUGGCCGAGUCAAGACCUCUCUGGGCCUCAGGGUUUCCGUCCAUUGAAUGCGAGAGCUGGUUUAGGUCAUCUGUACUUAUUUCUUUCUGAGUCUAAAGCUGUUCUCUGAUUCUGUGAUUUCAAGCAUAAAUGAGUCUAUCGUGAAGAGGAGCGACCUGGGCAGAUCACAGCUCCAACGACGUCAGCCAGUCUGGAGCUGGGUUUCGAAGGAGCCCAGAAAUGUGAAUCGGUGUUGGGGGGCGGGGGUGACAUUCCAGGUGGAGAGAAUGGCAUGAGCAAGGG
rnacentral:lncRNA from 1 species